AAAAAAGGUAAGCUACUAAGAGCGAAUGGUGGAUGCCUUGACUGGUAAAGGCGAUGAAGGACGUACUAGACUGCGAUAAGCUACGGGGAGCUGUCAAGAAGCUUUGAUCCGUAGAUUUCCGAAUGGGGCAACCCAAUGUAUAGAGAUAUACAUUACCUAUAUAGGAGCGAACGAGGGGAAUUGAAACAUCUUAGUACCCUCAGGAAAAGAAAUCAAUAGAGAUUGCGUCAGUAGCGGCGAGCGAAAGCGCAAGAGGGCAAACCCAGUGCUUGCACUGGGGGUUGUAGGACUGCAAUGUGCAAGAGGUGAGUUUAGCAGAACAUUCUGGAAAGUAUAGCCAUAGAGGGUGAUAGUCCCGUAUGCGAAAAACAAACCUUAGCUAGCAGUAUCCUGAGUAGGGCGGGACACGAGAAAUCCUGUCUGAAGCUGGGUCGACCACGAUCCAACCCUAAAUACUAAUACCAGAUCGAUAGUGCACAAGUACCGUGAGGGAAAGGUGAAAAGAACUGAGGUGAUCAGAGUGAAAUAGAACCUGAAACCAUUUGCUUACAAUCAUUCAGAGCCCUAUGUAGCAAUACAGGGUGAUGGACUGCCUUUUGCAUAAUGAGCCUGCGAGUUGUGGUGUCUGGCAAGGUUAAGCAAACGCGAAGCCGUAGCGAAAGCGAGUCUGAAUAGGGCGCUUAGUCAGAUGCUGCAGACCCGAAACGAAGUGAUCUAUCCAUGAGCAAGUUGAAGCUAGUGUAAGAACUAGUGGAGGACUGAACCCAUAGGCGUUGAAAAGCCCCGGGAUGACUUGUGGAUAGGGGUGAAAGGCCAAUCAAACUUCGUGAUAGCUGGUUCUCUCCGAAAUAUAUUUAGGUAUAGCGUUGUGUCGUAAUAUAAGGGGGUAGAGCACUGAAUGGGCUAGGGCAUACACCAAUGUACCAAACCCUAUCAAACUCCGAAUACCUUAUAUGUAAUCACAGCAGUCAGGCGGCGAGUGAUAAAAUCCGUCGUCAAGAGGGAAACAACCCAGACUACCAGCUAAGGUCCCUAAAUCUUACUUAAGUGGAAAACGAUGUGAAGUUACUUAAACAACCAGGAGGUUGGCUUAGAAGCAGCCAUCCUUUAAAGAAAGCGUAAUAGCUCACUGGUCUAGUGAUUUUGCGCGGAAAAUAUAACGGGGCUAAAGUAAGUACCGAAGCUGUAGACUUGCGCACAACUUAGAUUAUUUAAGUUUAGAAUAUGAGAAACUAAGUUAUAUGUUUAGUUAUAUUUUUACUGAUUUUUAUAGAGUAAAGAUAGAAAUAAAACUUAGUAAAAUCAGUAAAAAUAUUCUUAGACUAAAGUUAAGUAGUUUAAGUUGUGUGCAAGUGGUAGGAGAGCGUUCUAUUUGCGUCGAAGGUAUACCGGUAAGGAGUGCUGGAGCGAAUAGAAGUGAGCAUGCAGGCAUGAGUAGCGAUAAUUAAUGUGAGAAUCAUUAACGCCGUAAACCCAAGGUUUCCUACGCGAUGCUCGUCAUCGUAGGGUUAGUCGGGUCCUAAGUCGAGUCCGAAAGGGGUAGACGAUGGCAAAUUGGUUAAUAUUCCAAUACCAACAUUAGUGUGCGAUGGAAGGACGCUUAGGGCUAAGGGGGCUAGCGGAUGGAAGUGCUAGUCUAAGGUCGUAGGAGGUUAUACAGGCAAAUCCGUAUAACAAUACUCCGAGAACUGAAAGGCUUUUUGAAGUCUUCGGAUGGAUAGAAGAACCCCUGA
rnacentral:rRNA from 1 species